rnacentral:rRNA from 1 species
AAAUUGACGGGGGCCCGCACAAAGCAGUGGAGUAUGUGGUUUAAUUCGAAGCAACGCGAAGAACCUUACCAGGUCUUGACAUGGUGUUUAAGGCCCUAGAGAUAGGGAGAUAAUAAGCACACACAGGUGGUGCAUGGUUGUCGUCAGCUCGUGUCGUGAGAUGUUGGGUUAAGUCCCGCAACGAGCGCAACCCUUGUCUUUAGUUACCAUCAUUAAGUUGGGGACUCUAGAGAGACUGCCGGUGAUAAACCGGAGGAAGGUGGGGAUGACGUCAAAUCAUCAUGCCCCUUAUGACCUGGGCUACACACGUACUACAAUGGCGCAUACAACGAGCUGCGAGAUGGUGACAUCAAGCGAAUCUCUUAAAAUGCGUCUCAGUUCGGAUUGGAGUCUGCAACUCGACUCCAUGAGGUCGGAAUCGCUAGUAAUCGCGGAUCAGCAUGCCGCGGUGAAUACGUUCUCGGGGUUU